GCGGCGUGGAUAAGACAUGCAAGUCGAACGGGAGAAUUGCUAGCUUGCUAAUAAUUCUCUAGUGGCGCACGGGUGAGUAACACGUGAGUAACCUGCCUCUUAGUGGGGGAUAGCCCUGGGAAACCGGGAUUAAUACCGCAUACGAUUGAAAGAUCAAAGCAGCAAUGCGCUAGGAGAUGGGCUCGCGGCCUAUUAGUUAGUUGGUGAGGUAACGGCUCACCAAGGCGAUGACGGGUAGCCGGUCUGAGAGGAUGUCCGGCCACACUGGAACUGAGACACGGUCCAGACACCUACGGGUGGCAGCAGUCGAGAAUCAUUCACAAUGGGGGCAACCCUGAUGGUGCGACGCCGCGUGGGGGAAUGAAGGUCUUCGGAUUGUAAACCCCUGUCAUGUGGGAGCAAAUUAAAAAGAUAGUACCACAAGAGGAAGAGACGGCUAACUCUGUGCCAGCAGCCGCGGUAAUACAGAGGUCUCAAGCGUUGUUCGGAAUCACUGGGCGUAAGGCGUGCGUAGGCUGUUUCGUAAGUCGUGUGUGAAAGGCAGGGGCUCAACCCCUGGAUUGCACAUGAUACUGCGAGACUAGAGUAAUGGAGGGGGAACCGGAAUUCUCGGUGUAGCAGUGAAAUGCGUAGAUAUCGAGAGGAACACUCGUGGCGAAGGCGGGUUCCUGGACAUUAACUGACGCUGAGGCACGAAGGCCAGGGGAGCGAAAGGGAUUAGAUACCCCUGUAGUCCUGGCAGUAAACGGUGCACGCUUGGUGUGCGGGGAAUCGACCCCCUGCGUGCCGGAGCUAACGCGUUAAGCGUGCCGCCUGGGGAGUACGGUCGCAAGAUUAAAACUCAAAGAAAUUGACGGGGACCCGCACAAGCGGUGGAGUAUGUGGCUUAAUUCGAUGCAACGCGAAGAACCUUACCUGGGCUUGACAUGUAAUGAACAACAUGUGAAAGCAUGCGACUCUUCGGAGGCGUUACACAGGUGCUGCAUGGCCGUCGUCAGCUCGUGUCGUGAGAUGUUUGGUUAAGUCCAGCAACGAGCGCAACCCCUGUUGCCAGUUACCAGCACGUCAAGGUGGGGACUCUGGCGAGACUGCCCAGAUCAACUGGGAGGAAGGUGGGGACGACGUCAGGUCAGUAUGGCCCUUAUGCCCAGGGCUGCACACGUACUACAAUGCCCAGUACAGAGGGGGCCGAAGCCGCGAGGCGGAGGAAAUCCUGAAAACUGGGCCCAGUUCGGACUGUAGGCUGCAACCCGCCUACACGAAGCCGGAAUCGCUAGUAAUGGCGCAUCAGCUACGGCGCCGUGAAUACGUUCCCGGGUCUUGUACACACCGCCCGUCACAUCAUGGAAGCCGGUCGCACCCGAAGUAUCUGAAGCCAACCGCAAGGAGGCAGGGUCCUAAGGUGAGACUGGUAACUGGGAUG
rnacentral:rRNA from 1 species